GACGAACGCUGGCGGCGUGCUUAACACAUGCAAGUCGAACGGAAAGGCCCUGCUUUUGUGGGGUGCUCGAGUGGCGAACGGGUGAGUAACACGUGAGUAACCUGCCCUUGACUUUGGGAUAACUUCAGGAAACUGGGGCUAAUACCGGAUAGGAGCUCCUGCUGCAUGGUGGGGGUUGGAAAGUUUCGGCGGUUGGGGAUGGACUCGCGGCUUAUCAGCUUGUUGGUGGGGUAGUGGCUUACCAAGGCUUUGACGGGUAGCCGGCCUGAGAGGGUGACCGGCCACAUUGGGACUGAGAUACGGCCCAGACUCCUACGGGAGGCAGCAGUGGGGAAUAUUGCACAAUGGGCGGAAGCCUGAUGCAGCAACGCCGCGUGCGGGAUGACGGCCUUCGGGUUGUAAACCGCUUUCGCCUGUGACGAAGCGUCAGUGACGGUAAUGGGUAAAGAAGCACCGGCUAACUACGUG
rnacentral:rRNA from 1 species